CGAUAGGCCGAAGUACACGAUUCCAUGCUUCCAAGAAAAGCAUCUAGAGAGAGAAGUAGUGCCCGUACCGCAAACCGACACAGGUAGAUGAGGAGAGAAUCCUAAGGCCGGCGGAAGAAUUGCGGUUAAGGAACUAGGCAAAUUGACCCCGUAAGUUCGCGAGAAGGGGUGCCUGCGAGAGCAGGCCGCAGAGAAUAGGCCCAAGCAACUGUUUAGCAAAAACACAGGUCUCUGCUAAAGCGUAAGCUGAUGUAUAGGGGCUGACGCCUGCCCGGUGCUGGAAGGUUAAGGGGAACACUUAGCGCAAGCGAAGGUGUGAACUUAAGCCCCAGUAAACGGCGGCCGUAACAAUAACGGUCCUAAGGUAGCGAAAUUCCUUGUCAGGUAAGUUCUGACCCGCACGAAUGGCGUAAUGACUUGGGCACUGUCUCAACUGCAAAUCCGGCGAAGUUGUAGUGCGAGUGAAGAUGCUCGCUACCCGCGAUUGGACGGAAAGACCCCGUAGAGCUUUACUGUAGCUUAGCAUUGAAUUCCGGUAUUGUCUGUACAGGAUAGGUGGGAGACUGGGAAACUAGGGCGUCAGCCUUAGUGGAGUCAACCUUGGGAUACCACCCUGACAGUACUGGGGUUCUAACAGGACGCCAUGAAUCUGGUGACUGGACAUUGUUAGGUGGGCAGUUUGACUGGGGCGGUCGCCUCCUAAAAAGUAACGGAGGCGCCCAAAGGUUCCCUCAGAACGGUCGGAAAUCGUUCGUAGAGUGCAAAGGCAGAAGGGAGCCUGACUGCGAGACAUACAAGUCGAGCAGGGACGAAAGUCGGGCUUAGUGAUCCGGUGGUACCUCGUGGGAGGGCCAUCGCUCAACGGAUAAAAGCUACCUCGGGGAUAACAGGCUGAUCUCCCCCAAGAGUCCACAUCGACGGGGAGGUUUGGCACCUUGAUGUCGGCUCGUCGCAUCCUGGGGCUGUAGUAGGUCCCAAGGGUUGGGCUGUUCGCCCAUUAAAGCGGCACGCGAGCUGGGUUCAGAACGUCGUGAGACAGUUCGGUCCCUAUCCGUCGCGGGCGUAGGAAAUUUGAGAGGAGCUGUCCUUAGUACGAGAGGACCGGGAUGGACUGACCUCUGGUGCACCAGUUGUUCCGCCAGGAGCAUGGCUGGGUAGCUAAGUCGGGAAGGGAUAAACGCUGAAAGCAUCUAAGCGUGAAGCCUCCCUCAAGAUGAGAUUUCCCAUAGCAUAAGCUAGUAAGACCCCUUGAAGAACACAAGGUUGAUAGGUCAGAGGUGUAAGUGCGGUAACGUAUUUAGCUGACUGAUACUAAUAGGUCGAGGGCUUGACC
rnacentral:rRNA from 1 species